rnacentral:rRNA from 1 species
ACAUGCAAGUCGCACGAGAACGCUCCUGCUUGCAGGGGCAAGUAAAGUGGCGCACGGGUGAGUAACGCGUGGGUAAUCUACCCUCGAAUCGGGGAUAACAUUGCGAAAGCGAUGCUAAUACCGGAUGACAUCCAGACUGUUUCGGCGGUUUGGAUCAAAGGUGGCCUCUACAUGUAAGCUACUGUUUGAGGAUGAGCCCGCGUCCCAUUAGCUAGUUGGUGGGGUAACGGCCUACCAAGGCGACGAUGGGUAGCUGGUCUGAGAGGAUGAUCAGCCACACUGGAACUGACACACGGUCCAGACUCCUACGGGAGGCAGCAGUGAGGAAUUUUGCGCAAUGGGCGAAAGCCUGACGCAGCAACGCCGCGUGAGUGAUGAAGGCUUUCGGGUCGUAAAGCUCUGUCAAGUGGGAAGAACACGCAACAGGUUAAUACCCUGUUGCCCUGACGGUACCACUGAAGGAAGCACCGGCUAACUCCGUG